rnacentral:tRNA from 1 species
UGGAAGCUAUGGGCAAGACCAUCGUGCUGGUGGGCCCUUCGGGCUCGGGGCAGACGGUCAAGGCGGCCAACCAGCUGAUCGUUGCGGCCAACAUCCAG